rnacentral:piRNA from 1 species
UCCACGAAAGCCUGUAUUCAGCCUGGAUUGU